CGCGAUGCAUUGCCGCCGAGCUGCAGUCAGCGGGGCGUCUGGGCUCGUCACCGUCGCUUCUGCCACCGGCAGCUCCAGGGCAUCAGUCAAGGCUCUAAUGUGAAAUAUCUGAUAGGAUGACAACGGCAGCUGCAAGCCCAGAACACAUGUUCCUGCCGCAGCUCAUGAUACUGUUGCCCAGGGCUGGCCGAAGACGUUUUGGCACCUGGGGCAAACCACAAAAUGGUGCCCCCUUCCCUGGCCAGGAAAGAAGGGGAAGUAAGCUGAAGUGGCAUUGAUGGCUCCACAGUCAAGGACUGCAGCAAGAGGCCCAGUCUUGAGUACCAUUCUUAGCACACCUGACUUUUGAACUUAGCACAGCUCUAGGUGCUCAUUCACAAACACAGUUGAUGGAAUAAAUGCAUUCAGAUCUCUUAAAAGACACGUGACUUCCAGAUGAAGCACCUGGGACUUCAGAGAAAAUAAAAGGUUCAAAGCUUGUCUGUGAUCACAGGCUUUUGGGUUUGAUCCAGCACAAUGGAAUCAACCGCAACGGCCCCAUUGUCUUUGAGGAUGCAAGUGCAAUUCCAGCGCACAAGCCUUUACAUGACCCUUAGGCAAAUUAUUUAUAGCCUCCAUUGCAACUCUGUUCUACCUCUGACAGGCAGAAGGCUGCCCUGCCUUAACGGUUGGGCAAAGUGGCCCUUUCUGGGUCAGGAACUCAACUCUUCAAGGGUCUCCAACUGUGAGCCUUGAAGAGAAUGGUAGAGAGCCAGUGGAUGAGGCUGUGCAUUUAGAGCCAUGAAAGGUUUCCUUAACAGAGGCUGACAUUCUGUUUUAUACUGUAAGCAAAAUGACAUACCUUCAUGUAUCCUUCUGCCUCUUUGGGGUACAGAGCCUUGUGAAUAAAGCAUGUGGAAUAAAGCAGCGGUUUCCAAACUAUGUUUCUGAGGGGCAUUAGGGCC